rnacentral:rRNA from 1 species
AUUGAACGCUGGCGGCAGGCCUAACACAUGCAAGUCGAACGAGUGGCGGACGGGUGAGUAAUGUCUGGGAAACUGCCUGAUGGAGGGGGAUAACUACUGGAAACGGUAGCUAAUACCGCAUACUAUCGGAUGUGCCCAGAUGGGAUUAGCUAGUAGGUGGGGUAACGGCUCACCUAGGCGACGAUCCCUAGCUGGUCUGAGAGGAUGACCAGGCACACUGGAACUGAGACACGGGCCAGACUCCUACGGGAGGCAGCAGUGGGGAAGAGUGCACAAUGGGCGCAAGGCUGAUGCAGCCAUGCCGCGUGUAUGAAGAAGGCCUUAGGGUUGUAAAGUACUUUCAGCGGGGAGGCGUUACCCGCAGAAGAAGCACCGGCUAACUCCGUGCCAGCAGCCGCGGUAAUUC